UUCUAUUAUGGUGAAUGUCUAUAUUCAGAGAGAUUCUAGGAUUUAUUACUUGGUGGCUAAGUCACCUUCUCCCUAUAAAUAGAGGGUACUAUUCUAUUGUAAAUCAUCGCAUAUCAAUACGAAUUCCCUUUCUCUCUACUUUUCUCUGCAAUACUCUUUCUUCUUUUAUUAUUUCAUAACACGUUAUCAGCACGAGACUCUAACCAAUUGAGUAGAAGCU
rnacentral:lncRNA from 1 species